GGCCAGACUCCUACGGGAGGCAGCAGUAGGGAAUUUUCGUCAAUCGGCGCAAGCCUGAACGAGCGAUGCCGCGUGAGUGAAGAAGUAAUUCGUUACGUAAAGCUCUAUCAGCAGGGAAGAAAAUGACGGUACCUGACUAAGAAGCCCCGGCUAACUACGUGCCAGCAGCCGCGGUAAUACGUAGGGGGCAAGCGUUAUCCGGAAUUACUGGGUGUAAAGGGAGCGCAGACGGCAGUGCAAGUCUGGAGUGAAAGCCCGUGGCUUAACUACGGGACUGCUCUGGAAACUGUGCAGCUAGAGUGCAGGAGGGGCAGGCGGAAUUCCUGGUGUAGCGGUGAAAUGCGUAGAUAUCAGGAGGAACACCGGUGGCGAAGGCGGCCUGCUGGACAUUAACUGACGCUGAGGCGCGAAAGCGUGGGGAGCAAACAGGAUUAGAUACCCUAGUAC
rnacentral:rRNA from 1 species